GUGACAGCAGCCGCGGUAAUACAGAGGGUGCAAGCGUUGUUCGGAAUUAUUGGGCGUAAAGCGCGUGUAGGCGGUUAUCUAAGUCUGGUGUGAAAGCCCGAGGCUUAACCUCGGAAGUGCACUGGAUACUGGAUAACUAGAGGACGAGAGGGGGAAGUGGAAUUCCUGGUGUAGGGGUGAAAUCCGUAGAUAUCAGGAGGAACAUCGGUGGCGAAGGCGACUUCCUGGCUCGUUUCUGACGCUCAGACGCGAAAGCGUGGGUAGCAAACAGGAUUAGAAACCCCCGUAGUCC
rnacentral:rRNA from 1 species